AACGAACGCUGGCGGCAGGCCUAACACAUGCAAGUCGAGCGAACCCUUCGGGGUUAGCGGCGGACGGGUUAGUAACGCGUGGGAAUAUACCCUUUGGUACGGAAUAGCCUCGGGAAACUGAGAGUAAUACCGUAUGUGCCCUUCGGGGGAAAGAUUUAUCGCCAAAGGAUUAGCCCGCGUUGGAUUAGAUAGUUGGUGGGGUAAUGGCCUACCAAGUCUACGAUCCAUAGCUGGUUUGAGAGGAUGAUCAGCAACACUGGGACUGAGACACGGCCCAGACUCCUACGGGAGGCAGCAGUGGGGAAUCUUAGACAAUGGGCGCAAGCCUGAUCUAGCCAUGCCGCGUGGACGAUGAAGGCCUUAGGGUUGUAAAGUCCUUUCAGAUGGGAAGAUAAUGACGGUACCAUCAGAAGAAGCCCCGGCUAACUCCGUGCCAGCAGCCCGCGGUAAGUCGUACGAU
rnacentral:rRNA from 1 species